GAUGAAGAACGCAGCGAAAUGCGAUAAGUAAUGUGAAUUGCAGAAUUCAGUGAAUCAUCGAAUCUUUGAACGCAUCUUGCGCUCCUUGGUAUUCUGAGGAGCAUGCCUGUUUGAGUGUCAUUAAAUUCUCAACUACACUGACUUUGAAUUGGUGUGGCUUGGAUUUGGGGGGAAAAUUGUUGUGGGCUUUUUGUAUAGUCUGCUCCCCUGAAAUUGAUUAGCGGUACCUUUGUGGAACUGUCUACAGGUGUGAUAAUUAUCUACAUCUUAGACAUCUGCUGGAAUGCUGCUUUCUAAACCUUACUUGUAUUGACAAUCUUGACCUCAAAUCAGGUAGGACUACCCGCUGAACUUAAGCAUAUCAAAAGCGGAGGA
rnacentral:misc_RNA from 1 species